rnacentral:lncRNA from 1 species
UGGCGCCCCCGCCGCCGCCGCCGCCGCCGCCGCCGCCGAAGCCCUUGAGCGUGGGGCUGCCGAGCGCGCGCUUGGCGGCGGGGCACACUGGGGGCUUGGCCAGCACCGCAGGCUUCACGGGCUCCUGCUUGGCGUUGAUGACCUCCUGGCUCUUGACGUACUUGGCCUUGUCGGCCUCCAGCCGCUCCACGGCGCUGAGUCUCUUGGGGUUGGGCUCCGCCUGGCGGCGAAAGUAGUCGGGCCCCUUGUUGAGGAUGCGCAGGGGCACGGCCGACGUGAAGGUGCCGGCGGGGCUGACCGGCUUCACCAUGCUACCUGUCUGUAGGCUCUCCGUGGGCAUGGCGGGCACUCUCUCCCCGGCGGCCGUGGUGGAUGCUCGUGUGCGCGCCUCCGGAUGCGCCGGGCAGACACAUGUGCGGGCGGCACAAAGCGCAGCGGAUGGUCCGGAACCGAGGGUCAGCGGCGGCGGCAGCGCCUCAUCUCCCGCUCGGUCACCGACCCGGGACUCUAAUCCCCUCGCCCCCUCGCCGGCCGGCCGGUGCAGAGAGGCAACCAACCCCCAAGAGCUGGGAAGAGCACCCAGGACUAGUCGAAUUCCAGACCACUACAAUGAUUUAUCUUCUUCCUUCAAGGUCACUGAACAAGAACAAAACUCACUGGGAAGAAAAAAACAUCUGAUUCUUAAAAUCACAACGUUCCAAUCAGUGAUUAUUUGA